rnacentral:rRNA from 1 species
GACGAACGCUGGCGGCGUGCUUAACACAUGCAAGUCGAGCGGUAAGGCCCUUUCGGGGGUACGACGAGCGGCGAACGGGUGAGUAACACGUGGGUGACCUGCCCUCCAGCUCUGGGAUAAGCCUGGGAAACCGGGGUCUAAUACCGGAUAUGACUCCAUGACGCAUGUUGUGGGGUGGAAAGCCUUGUGCGGCUGAGGAUGGGCCCGCGGCCUAUCAGCUUGUUGGUGGGGUGAUGGCCUACCAAGGCGACGACGGGUAGCCGGCCUGAGAGGGCGACCGGCCACACUGGGACUGAGACACGGCCCAGACUCCUACGGGAGGCAGCAGUGGGGAAUCUUGCGCAAUGGGCGAAAGCCUGACGCAGCGACGCCGCGUGAGGGAUGACGGCCUGGUGUAC